UACGAAGGGGGCUAGCGUUGCUCGGAAUCACUGGGCGUAAAGGGUGCGUAGGCGGGUUUUUAAGUCAGAGGUGAAAUCCUGGAGCUCAACUCCAGAACUGCCUUUGAUACUGAAAGUCUUGAGUAUGGGAGAGGUGAGUGGAACUGCGAGUGUAGAGGUGAAAUUCGUAGAUAUUCGCAAGAACACCGGUGGCGAAGGCGGCUCACUGGCCCAUAACUGACGCUGAGGAGCGAAAGCAUGGGGAGCGAACAGG
rnacentral:rRNA from 1 species